rnacentral:lncRNA from 1 species
GUCAGUAUGCUAAGAUGAUGUCAGCCAAAGUGCAUAUAUUUCUACCCUAAUUCAACAAAAGUAAAUGUCACAAUUUGCUUAUCUUGACCCUGAUCCUUUAUGCAAAGCUUUUUUCCUGCAAAAAGUACAGUAGAGGUGGAGAAAAUGGGAAAAGCUAUGCUUAUUUUUCCCCAAGAAGCAGGAUUCCCAGUUUCUGUCUCAGACAUGCUUGUGUCUGAUCUGAGAAGAGGAUUGUCUAUUAAUGCCGAAAAUCCAGACAAGCAGUGAGCAAUGGGAGAGUAUUAAAGAAUCAAAAAGCAGAGAGGGUGUUGCUUAUUUCUUUCCUUUCUUUCCUUGUUUUACCAACAUUUUCUUGGGUUCCCAGAAUUAAGUGCUAGAGGUAGAAUUAACUUUGAGAUUAACAACACUGCUGGAAUCUUUUGUAAAAAAUUACAGUUUCAUUAUCAUUUCACUGAUUCUCAGUGGCUAUUUGAUAGAGCGUCUAGGCCUAUUUUCUAUAUGGUUGCCUUGGAAUGAGGGAGUAUAACAGUAGCUCACAUUGAUUGAGCAUUUGCUAUGCGCUAGGUACUAUGUUAAGCACUCUACAGGUCUUAUUUAAGCAUCAUAAUACCUAUUUUAGGUAAGUACUGAUGUUAUGCCCAUUUUACAGGUGAGAAAACUGAGGUACAGAGUUUAGGUAUCUCAAGGUCACACAAGGUCAAGGCAGAGCCAGCGUUGGGCUCAUUCUGGCUCCAAAGUCUAUAUUCUAACUCACCACACUAUACUGUCUCUUAUACAUUAAUUAUCUGUUGUUGUUCCAUAAUGGUUAUUAAUAUUUUAAUGCACAAUAGGGAAUCUUUUUGCAAACCCAAUUAAUGGAGUAACUGUCUUCAUAUAUAUUGUGUUAAGGUUCUUAAUUUCAGUCAAUCCUUUUAAUAUUUCUUACUAAAUUAUUGAUCUGGAUGUUAAGAGGGAGAAAGGUACACUUGGAUUGGAUUGAUUUCUUCUGUAUCCUUAGAAUAAAUUUCUCAUCAAGAAACUUUAUUACCAUCUUAUGUUUUUAUUUUCCAUAAUAAAUUGUGGAUUUUACUCCAUCUCUGAGCUCUACCUGCCUCAUAGGGCUUGUCUGGCUGUUUUAUAGCAGCAAACAUUGAAGCAGGUACUUUUACCCCAUGAAAAUCCCCAGCUGUAGUGCCCAUUUCUAGAUAUCAAGGGUUGAACCAUCUCCAAGUGGGUCUGACCCCACUUGUCUCGGUGGACUUCCCUCUGCAUUCUUAUGGGCCCCUUAGGUUUGCUGGCACUCAGGGGAAGAGGAGUGAGGUAAAGAUGGUUGUUCUCUUUUGUCCUUUUAAAUCUGAGUGCUCAAUUCCCUUACCUGAAUUUGUUAAGAGUGUUUUAUGUUGUGAAGUCUUUAAUCAUAGAGUCUAGUCUAUAUACGAGAGGUCUAAUCUAGCCCCAGGCUUUUCCGUUUUUCCCCCUAGUGAAAUAUUUGGGAUGUUAGCCUCCCACCAGGAUUGACUUAUACUGAAAAAAUGAGCCAACAUUUUUUGUUACUGCUCUUUUGAGUUUCAGAAAUUUGACUUUAUGGUAUCUCAUUCUAAAUAUUUUUUCAACAGUAUUGAGGUAUUAUUGAUUCAUGUUAAGUAUUUAUAUCUCUCUUUCACAUGUGGUUCAGUUUCAAAGUGUAUUUCACCAUGCUUUUUUUUUUUUUUGUCAUCCUGUUUGUUUUAACAGCAAGUUUUGUCUGCCUACAGGAGAAUAUUAAAAAGUGAGCCUCCAUAUCCCCAAGAAAUGAGUGCUUUAGCGAAAGACCUAAUUCAGCGUCUUUUGAUGAAAGAUCCCAAGAAGAGAUUGGGAUGUGGUCCACGUGAUGCAGAUGAAAUCAAAGAACAUCUCUUCUUUCAGAAAAUAAAUUGGGAUGAUUUAGCCGCC